CGUUAAGAUGUCCGGAAUGUGUUAGACGAAUGAUUUUGUUUUAUGGAGCUUUGAAGAGCGAUGAAUGGCACUAAAGUGGUGCCAAAUUGAUAUCUCAAACACCCAUUGUUGAUUUGUGAUGCUGAUAAUACAGAGACAGCUAGAGUGACAGAGUUUGAUGAAUAAACUUAAAUUAAAAAACAGAAAUAACCACCAUCUCUCUCAGAGGUCAUCUUUCUCAUUAUUGUGGGGAAACCUCAAAGGGCAUCAGGAAAACCUUCAUCAACCUCUUUGUGCCCAGUGGCUAAUGUGCAACAGUGUUUCAGAAAUUAUCAUUAAAAUGGGGAUAAUGGAUGACUGGCCACACAUAUGGGGCUAUGGACAAGCUUCAGAGCAGGCUGCCAGGUGGUGGUGUUAGUAGUUUAUACUCCAGGUCCCGGCGUGAGCACUUGGAAGGGUCCCAGAGUGACAGUUCAACCACCGCACACCUAUCCUGGGCAGAACCAGUACUAGGUGUCUUCACCUCUGCAAGGAACUGACAACUUCUGUACAUGCCAGGUGCAGUGGUACAGUGCGAAUGGUCGUAGAAAGGAUUUCAUAACCAAUCACAACAGAAGUGACCUGGUCCGCCCGGGAAUCGAACCCGGGUUGUCCAAUUCAGAGUCCAACGCUCUACCGAUUGAGCUGACCGGGCGGAUAUAUAAGCUACAUUAGAUGACAAGCCAUCUAUGCUGGACAUUCUUCACAAUAAAAUGUGAUGUCACAGGAGCUGUCUAUCUCAACAGCUCACACUGUCCGUAUUUGACUAAAGGAAUGAAUGAAGUCACUGCAGAAGUUAGAUUGAGGAAUGUCCAUGUCACUACCCAUCAUUUGGAAGGAGUUGGAUAAAAAAAGUGUGGCCUAUGUAUUGAAACUGGUCCGAUUUCCAGUUACGGACAGUCUUGAUUUGUUUGAUUACAUUUUUGACCAACAUGAUGGUCUAAAAGAACACUUACUGGUAACUGGUAAAAUCAUGGCCCAGUUGUUCCAAGAGGCAGGCGAGUGGGAAUUUACUAGACUCCAUUUCUUUAUGGGUUGAUCUGAGGUUCUGAGUUCAGUUAAAGUACUGAUGGAACACCAAGUGUUUGCCAUAAUACAGCAACAUUUGAUUUGUAACUAUGUAUUUGUUUGAAUUGUUGAAACAGUACUGUUUACUAAAUGAUGUGUAUGUAUAUGAAGAAUAAUAUUAUAAAUAAUUUGUAAGAACCUUUUGAUAUUAAGUAAAAUGUCGAUAAGUCUAAAUAUGUAUCUGUGAAUCAUUUUUGUAUAUCUGUAAAGAUUACAUUGCCUAUAUUCCUCAAUUUAUAUUUUUCUUUUAGCCAGUCAAUAACUUUUCUUAAGUUCUAUCUUCAAAAUUGUCGGGACAGGGAUUAUAGCCCUUAAUUAACCCAAAUAUGUAACAUUCAAUGCAAAAUUUCUAAUUGGCUGCAUUUAGGCAGUUCAGAUGCAGGAACAAACAUCACUUGGGUCCUUCGUUAAUAAUAGCUUUCCAUCUGACAUUGAAGAUCCAAUAAAAGGAAUUUGUCAUUUGACUGUUUAUUAACUCUCAAUUUAUUGAAAGUGAAAUUACUUACAUGAUUUGUAAGAACUAAAUUAUAAUGAUAUCAAAUGAUUGUUUAAAUUAAAUAAAAUAGAUGAUUACAUACAUGAACUAUUUUUAUUUCUUGUUUGUCAAUAUGAAGAGUAAUGCAAUGGCUUUUGAAUUUCAUAAAAGAAAAGGAUGGAAAAAUGUAUGUUUAUUGUUUAAGCAAUUAAUUAAGUAAUAAAAGUAUUUUUUAGCUCACCUGUCACUUUGUGACAAGGUGAGCUUUUGUGAUCGCCUUUUGUCCGGCGUCCGGCGUGUGUCGUGCAUCGUCCGUCAACAAUUUACUUAAAAGACAUCUCCUCCUUAACCGCUGGGCCAAUAUUAAUAAAACUUCAUAGGGAUGUUCCUUGGGUGGUCUUCUAUCAAAGUUGUUCAAAGAAUUCAAUUCCAUGCAGAACUCUGGUUGCCAUGGCAACUAAAAGGAAAAACUUUAAAAAUCUUCUACUCCCAAACCACAAGGCUUAGGCCGUUGAUAUAUGGUAGGUAGGAUCACCAAAUGGUCCUCUACCAAGAUUGUUCAAAUUAUGGCCCUUGGGUCAAAAUUGGCCCCGCCCCGGGGGGUCAUGGGUUUUCUCUAUAUGUUUAUAGUGAAAACUUCAAAAAUCUUCUCCUCUGAACUUACUUGGCCUAGAGCUUAGAUAUUUGUCAUGAUUCAUAGUCUAGUGGACCUCUACAAAGUUUGUUCAAAUUUUGGCCCUGGGGUCAAAAUUGGCCCCGCCCCGGGGGGUCAUGGGUAUUCUCUAUAUGUUUAUAGUUAAAACUUC